AAGGGGGAGUCAGGAGCGAUUCAUUUCAAGGGGGCUUGGGGACAAUUCCGGUUUGGUUUUCUGAAAAUGCGUAGGGUUGUUUUCCCAAACUUCCGAGCUACUCUGCUCUUCGUCCCAGGAAGGCCAAGCAAAUAAAAGUCCGGGGAAAGUUCCUUUAACUUCCUUCCUGCGCCCUCGACAAGGGCUGCGAAGAGGAAGAGGUCAUUUCCCAGGGAAGCACCGGGCAGGGGCCGAGAGCUGCGCCCAGCCUGCAGGGAUGGAGGCGCUGGGCGGAGGGCUGGCUGCAGACGUAGGCCCCGGAAAGCCCCUUCCCCCCACCCUACCUCAGGCCAACGGCGCCUGGAGCUGGCCCCGCUGCAGCCCUUGCUGUUUGAAGUCCCGCGGCAAAGCGGCGACAACACCGGCGCAGCCCGGCGCCCCGACCCCGGCCGCCGAGCUCCCUCCCUGCAGCACCCCGGCACCCCAGCGCCCGGCCCAACCCGGCCCGCCACAUCCGCGCCCGCGCGGCCCAGCCCGAGCCCCGGAACGAUUCCGAGCCCCACGCCGGCGCCCGGUGGCGGGAGGGGGCGCCGAGCCCGCGGCUUACCUGCGUGCUGGAUCCCCGGGCUGCUCGGAGGGGUGCGGGGCGCAGGCGAGUGCGGCCCGCAGACUCUAACUUUGUUGCUCUCGGGACGGCGCAGUCGUCACUUCCUCGCGGAGCGGGCGGUGCGGCCCGGGCUGUGCGGCCCGGGCUGUGACCCAGCGGCUCGCGCGGUGGCGCGCAGGGCCCUGCAGCCAGCCGCCCCGCCCGCGCCCCCGGCUCCGCGCGCCCCUGGCCCCAGGCGCCGUCUCCCCACUCUGCGCGCCCUCGGCUGCGGGGUAGCGGGCAGCCCUGCGCUGCCGGCCGCCUAGCCUGCACCCCCCGCCCUGGGAGGGAAGCCUCGCUCCAGCCGCGUCGUUUCCGCGCCGAAGUGCGAUCCGGGGCCCCGCGCUGGAGUCCCCUGCUCUCAGGCUGGUCUGGAAGGUGGUGGUGGGGUUCAGGGUCCCCGGAAAGCUGGGGUUCCAGGGUAAACACCAGUACACAAACAAAGCGGUGGGGGAGGGGAAAGAAAAAGUUUUUCCGUUUGGUGUUGGGGCUAAAAGGGUCAUGUCAGAAAGCAGUGUGCUCUAUGUGUUCUUAAUGCCUAAAGUGGGCCUUAAAACAAGGGUCCCUGUCCCCACGUUCUCUCUAAAAGUCUGCAUGAUGUCCCUCGUCAUUUCUACGGGUUAUAAGUGAGCAAGACGUUUACCACGUAUCACACUUCUGGGGGCUAUUUCAACGCCCAAGCUGGGGCUGCAGAAUGGUUUCUGUUCUAAUCCUCCCCCGCGAUUUCCACCUCUUUACACUCAACUCACAGAAAAUAGAGUCUGAUGCAUUCUGUGUUUCAUCACCGGUCAAAAGUGACUUUGAGGGUAGGGUGGAGGCCUGAGAAGGGCAGCUUCAGGCAAUAGUAAUCCUGAAAUUUAUCAUUGCUCAAAAUAAAUGUGCUCACCUUAUUAAAAAGUACAACGGAAAGCCACCUUUAAGAUAAGUAGCAACCAAGUCGUUAAACAGCAGUCUUCAAGGAAGAACUCCUGAUCUCAUAAGGCUGGAGAAAAAACGGGGUUAGCCUUUGCUGGUGAAAAAAAAAAAAAAAGACAUUCGAAACUGCAGUGAAGGGCUUUCAUAACAGAAACAUUAGCUUCAUUGUAGCUUGUCGUGGAAAACAGGGACCUUUUAAUAGGUGGUUCAAAAGCAUCAGUUAGGGCUCAACAAUUUUCCUUUUUUCCCCAAAUACUGCUUCUCCUAGCACAUUGGCCAGAUAAAACCUCCCCCCUUUCAAUGCUUCAUCUUUUUAUGAAAACACAGGAAACCAUAAACUUGAGUGAAGGCUUUGUUCAGAAAGGUGGAUGUAAGACUGAUGGAAAAUGACAUUUGGGAAAUGAUCCCCAGGUCUGUGUUAAUCUCUCAUGGAAAGCCACAGACUCACCCAAAGAUAGGCGUAUGAAGAUCGAAGCUCUCCUAGCAACAUGAAAUCCUCCACGUUGCAGCUGCUACGCCCUAGUUCUGAUUUUUACUAAGACAUUAAUGGCACAUUAUAAAUACAAAAUGUGCAAUGCAAGAAAAAUAAUACUGCUUUGAGAAAUAACUGCAUCAUUAGACUCAAUAAUUAAAGUUCCCUGAAAUUCUUCUUACAUCACGCUAUUGUGGGGAGAUGGUGAAGGGAUUGCCCAUUUCAAUUUUGGAAUAAAUAGAAGUAAUUCCUUAGUGCAUUCUGCUUAAGGCAACCAAUGAGAGAAUAUGUUAGCCAGGCUUCUAAAGGCAAUCAUGUGAUACUCCAUAUUUGCUAAAACAAGAGCUGAAUAUUUUUUUUGUUCCAUAUGCAAUUCCAAAUUUUCAGUCACAAUUUCAUGAAUAUUCAGUAUUUCUGCAUGCCCAGGAGUAAUUAGCAGACAGUGUAAAUGUGUGAAGGCCUGACACUUACACAUACAUUGCUUUUUUCUCUAUGUAAGGUGGCAGUUGCUGGAGUACCAGGGCACCAAGUGGAGGAUGUGGUAGACAGCCUCUAAGAUGCGCCCCCUGCCAAUGAUCUCUGCCUCCAGGGAGGAGCUAGAAGGCAGAGAGAAAGCCACUCAGGACUUCCCAUCCCAGAAGAUAAAGGUGAGGAAAGCAGCAGCAGCAGCCACAGGCCAGUAUUCCAGAGCAGCUUUGGGUUCCUGUCAAGACCUGCUUUGAGAAGGAGGUGGCUGUGGGGCUGGAGGGCUGGGCCUGUUCCUGAGCUGGCUGCUGGCAGCACAGCAAUGAGGCAACAUUGAGAACUGCGACACGAGGCCCAGUCCUGCUACUAAACCAACUGUGUGGACUUGCAUAGUCACUUCACCCCUCGGGCCUCCAUUUCUCCACUUUGGAAAGCAGUGUUGGGACGAUGUUAAGGGUUUGCAACCUUCCAACAUGAAGACUUAUUUUUAAAAGCAAAACAUUUCAAAGAGUCCACAUGACAGUAGUGUUCAUUUUGGCAUCUGUUGAUUUAACAAAUACAAAAUUAGGCUGGGUGUAGUUGCUAACGCCUGUAAUUCCAGCACUUUGGGAGACCGAGGCAGGAGGAUCACCUGAAAUCAGGAGUUCGAGACCAGCCUGGCCAACAUGGUGGAACUCCAUCACUACCAAAAAUACAAAAAUUAGCUGGGCUUGGUGGCACGUGCCUGUAAUCCCAGCUACUCGGGAGGCUGAGGCAGGAGAAUCAUUUGAACCCGGGAGGCAGAGGUUGCAGUGACCUGAGAUUGCACCACUGUACUCCAGCCUGGGCAACAGGGCAAGACUCCAUUAAAAAAAAAAAUACAAAAUUAGGCAUGGUGGUGUUCGUCUGUAGUCCCAUCUAUUUGAGAGGUUAAGGCGGGAGGAUCACUUGAGCUCAGGAGUUUGAGUUUGCAGUGAGCUGUGGUCUGCCUGUGAAUAGCUGCUGCAGUACAGCUUGGGCAACAUAGUGAGAUUCCAUCUCUAGUCUUUAAAAAAAGGAAAAAUACGGCCGGGCGCGGUGGCUCACACUUGUAAUCCUAGCACUUUGGGAGGUCGAGGAGAGAGGAUCACCUGAGGUCAGGAGUUCGAGACCAGCUUGGCCAACAUGGCGAAACCCAUCUCUACUAAAAAUACAAAAAUUAGCUGGGUGUGGUGGCGCACGCCUGUAAUCCUAGCUACUCAGGAGGCUGAGGCAGGAGAAUUGCUUGAACCAGGAGGGAGAGGUUGCAGUGAGCCAAGAUCGUACCACUGCGCUCCAGCUUGGGCAACAUAGAGAGAUCCCAUCUCUAUUUUUUUAAAAAGGAAAAAUACAAGGGAUACCAGAGCACUGGGCCAGUGCUUGUUAUAAAGUCCAUCAAUGGGCCAGGCACGGAGGCUCACACCUGUAAUCCCAACACUUUGGGAAGCCGAAGUGGG
rnacentral:lncRNA from 1 species